AGGAGCUGAGCAGGUCUCAUGGCCAGAGGUCUCCAUACAGGCUGCAUCUGACAGACCUAUAAGCUUGGGUGGCAGGAAGGGAAUCCAAUCCCAAGCUGGGAUGCCCAAUCAUGAUUGAUUGAGGAAGGCCACCCACACUGAGCCUUCUGGAAUCCAUUGCAGACCUCAGUUGACAGUCAUUCCAUCAUUUAUCUGUUGUAUCCAUUCAUUGAUGGACUGAGCACCUGGGCUAGGUGUAAGAAGUACAGAAAUAAAUGAAACAGCGUCGCCACCCUUAUUGGGUCAACUUAGAAAUAGCAAACAUCUGGAAGGAGGGAGAGAAGAAGGAAGGAAAGAGAAGAGGUGAGAGAGAGAGAGAUGAAGAACAUGCAAAACAUCAAAACUAACACUGAAACAUUGCAGGCAUAAGGCAGAGUCAAAAAAGGAAAGCCCCAGAAAUUUGACAUGGUUACUCCGGUGACCAAGACAGCAUCUUAAUCCAUAGUUCAACAGUUUCCUAGUCCUCUUGGGGGA